rnacentral:rRNA from 1 species
CCUACGGGAGGCAGCAGUGAGGAAUAUUGGUCAAUGGGCGCUAGCCUGAACCAGCCAAGUAGCGUGAAGGAUGACUGCCCUAUGGGUUGUAAACUUCUUUUAUCUGGGAAUAAAGUGCAGUAUGUAUACUGCUUUGCAUGUACCUUAUGAAUCAGGAUCGGCUAACUCCGUGCCAGCAGCCGCGGUAAUACGGAGGAUCCGAGCGUUCUCCGGAUUUAUUGGGUUUAAAGGGAGCGGAGGCGGGUUGUUAAGUCAGUUGUGAACGUUUGCGGCUCAACCGUAAGAUUGCAGUUGAUACUGGCAUUCUUGAGUACAAGAGAGGUAGGCGGAAUUCGUGGUGUAGCGGUGAAAUGCAUAGAUAUCACGAAGAACUCCGAUUGCGAAGGCAGCCUGCUGGACUGUAACUGACGCUGAUGCUCGAAAGUGUGGGGAUCAAACAGGAUUAGAUACCCCAGUAGUC